UUCUCUUUUAGGGUUCGUGCCCGCCUCUGAGUCCACUCCCACUCCAAUCCAUGUUCAGCAGUACCUAUUUAAGGACACUCUGCCCUGCCUUCUGUGCCUGAUCAAUAUUGUGGUUUUGCACAGUAAAGGUUCUGCUGCUUCUCUGCUGACUCCGUGUUCCAGACUUCUGCCUGUUUUGUGACUCCGUCCUCGCCUGACCCCUGGUACUUUCCUGUCUCUCCUGGUACAGACCUCAGACUGCUAGACUAUGCCUUUGCCUGCUAUUGAACUAAAAACCCCACAAGCACCUGUGCUACUCAGCUCUGCUAUUCCCUGCUCCAGCUCUGCCACGCCAUCUGCCUGGUCAGCGUCUACUGGCCCUGCUGCUGUGCUACUCCAACCAGCCUCAGCCAGCCCCACCCACCUGCAAACACAGAUCCUUUCUUUUAAGGAUUCUUUGGGCUGCUUUGGCCAGCUGCGUCUUCACUGGGACCACUCUUGUGUAGCGACCUGGUAUCUCCCUGCAGCUAAGACCAGCUUCCGCACCCGGAGCAGGAUAAAGAGUGAAGGCCAGGGAGAUACUUAGACUCCGCUCGCGAGUUUGGCCCAAAGCCAAACCGAAACCUUCACUGUUCACUCAAUCUGCCCUGGCUAUGUGAUUAAAAAAAAAACAGGUGCAAGACUGAUCACAGUAAAAUCCCUUUUACACAGGACUAUUAUCGGAAAAUGAGUGUUACUGAAUCAGCCAAUUGGAUCUUUUGUACGACCAUUUAAAUUAUCGCUAUCGACCGCCCAUUUCCCUAUGUAAACAGGUGAUGUGCGUCCGACAAUGUUGAGUUUAUCGAACCUUGUGAAGACUCAUCAAACAAGUACCAACCACAGAGAUCAGCAAUCAUCAUCUGCAGAAUGUCGUUCCAUAUAAAAAGAUGCUGCAGACCCUACAUUGAUUGAUAUGAAGGAUGGGCCGAGGAGGAGGAGGGGGUAAUAAACAGAGAAGAGGCAUGCACAACAGACAUGGACUGGAAAGUAACAAGUGGUUCAGACAAUGAUCUAUCCACAUGCACAAAGUCAGAUUUGUUCACACAGUGCAGUUUUUGAUUUUUUUUCCCCAGACAGAAAAAAGGCAAGAGUCUUUCUGUUACACUGUUCUUGUCAUUACAA